GAUGAACGCUAGCGGCAGGCCUAAUACAUGCAAGUCGAGGGAGAAGUUGUCUUCGGAUGACAGGAACCGGCGAACGGGUGCGUAACACGUAUGCAAUCUGCCCCUGACUGGAGCAUAGCCCGGGGAAACUCGGAUUAAUACUCCAUAGCAUUUGAAUUAUAGUAAAGAUUUAUCGGUAGAGGAUGAGCAUGCGUCCCAUUAGCUUGUUGGUGUGGUAACGGCACACCAAGGCAACGAUGGGUAGGGGCCCUGAGAGGGGGAUCCCCCACACUGGUACUGAGACACGGACCAGACUCCUACGGGAGGCAGCAGUGAGGAAUAUUGGACAAUGGGCGGGAGCCUGAUCCAGCCAUGCCGCGUGCAGGAAGACUGCCCUAUGGGUUGUAAACUGCUUUUUACGGGAAGAAACACCCCCACGUGUGGGGGCUUGACGGUACCGUACGAAUAAGGAUCGGCUAACUCCGUG
rnacentral:rRNA from 1 species